GACAGAGGUGCCGAGCGUUAGGCGGAAUCACUGGGCUUAAAGCGUGUGUAGGCGGACUUGUAAGUACCUUGUGAAAUCCCACAGCUCAACUGUGGAACUGCUUGGUAUACUGCUUGUCUUGAGCCACUUAGGGGCAGUCGGAACAGACGGUGGAGCGGUGAAAUGCGUAGAUAUCGUUUGGAACGCCAACGGUGAAAACAGACAGCUGGGAGUGUGCUGACGCUGAGACACGAAAGCCAGGGGAGCGAACGGG
rnacentral:rRNA from 1 species